rnacentral:rRNA from 1 species
AUUGAACGCUGGCGGCAGGCCUAACACAUGCAAGUCGAACGAGUGGCGGACGGGUGAGUAAUGUCUGGGAAACUGCCCGAUGGAGGGGGAUAACUACUGGAAACGGUAGCUAAUACCGCAUACCAUCGGAUGUUCCCAGAUGGGAUUAGCUAGUAGGUGGGGUAAUGGCUCAACUAGGCGACGAUCCCUAGCUGGUGUGAGAGGAUGACCAGCCACACUGGGACUGAGACACGGUCCAGACGCCUACGGGAGGCAGCAGUGGGGAAUAUUGCGCAAUGGGCGCAAGCCUGAUACAGCCAUGCCGCGUGUAUGAAGAAGGCCUUCGGGUUGUAAAAUACUUUCAGCGGGGAGGCGUUACCCGCAGAAGAAGCACCGGCUAACUCCGUGCCAGCCGCCGCGGUAAUUC